AGUGCAGGCAAUGUGAUUUCUAUUAGCGGUUGUCGUAACUAUAAAGGGAAAGGUAACAACGCUCCUGUAUACAAUACUAUAAAAUCCUUCCUGGCCAGAGGCACCAAAAUCCUUUUACCUGUAAAGCAUUAAGAAGCUCAGGUAACCUGGCUGACAUCUGACAGAAAGGACCUAUAAGGGGACAAGAUAAUUUCAAAUCUUUGAGGGGUGGGAGAAAAGAGGCUUUUGUUUGUGCUCUUUUUUGGUGGUGGUGGUGGUUGC